CCGAAGCCGGUGAGGUAACCGCAAGGAGCCAGCCGUCGAAGGUGGGGGCGAUGAUUGGGGUGAAGUCGUAACAAGGUAGCCGUAUCGGAAGGUGCGGCUGGAUCACCUCCUUU
rnacentral:ncRNA from 1 species